rnacentral:lncRNA from 1 species
CUCACUGAGGCUUCUGGGAAUCUACUGCAGAUUGAGCUCCACCCCUGCCUGUCUCGGAGGUCUCUGUUCGGUAGUGGAACCUUCGCGGGACCUUGCUGGGGAAUGUACAUUACAUAUAGGUGCAGCCCAUGAGAAUCUGUUCCAGUGAAAUGCUACAUUCAAAGAAGUGCUGUCCACCCCAGAAGAUCCCAGAGGACGCAAUUCUGGCUGUGCUGGGAAGUGCUAAAGUUCCCUUCAUAUGUCACUCUGGAGAAGGAGCAGCAAAGCAGCCAUGUUGAGUUCCUCUCUCAACAUUUGGCAUCAUGGACGAUGAGAUGGAGUCUUUUAUGUUGCUCAGCAAACUCCUGUGCUCAAGCAAUCUUCCCACCUCGGCCACUCAACGUAUCGGGAUUACAGGCAUGAACCACUGCACUCAGCCUUAUUUGGUGUCUUUUAAAAUAAAUAUUCUAAGAAUCAUGUAAAGAUACUUCACUGAUUCCAUUUGUGGCUAGCUGAUUCUUUGGAUAUGGGUGGGUCCUUAAUCACAACAGUAACUCCAAAUAAAAAAAAUACUUGGUUGGAUUUCUUGGCUUGUUUCAUGAGGACAGCUCAUUAAAAUGUUGUUUAUACACUAAGUUGGUAAGAUCAACUGUGCUAGACAGAACUGAAACCAGAGAGGGCAAGAUCUUGUCUACCUUAGUGCAGUCUCCUCAUUUAUAACCUGAGAGAGUAAGGUACAAGGAAGAGAGCACCCCAUAUCCUUGAAGUCAUUGAUUUCUUUCUCUACAUCCUCGUUCUGCAAUUUACUAGCAAGUCAAGCAAGUUACUUAGCCAUUGUGAGUCUCCGCUUCCUCACUGAUAAAAUGGAGAUGUUAUCACAUCUUGCAUGUUUAUUGCAAGAAUUAAAUAAGAUAAUAUACAUAAAAUGCCACAAUCAGCAUAGGCAUUUACUACUUUUUUUUUUUUUUUCGAGACUGAGU